UUGACAUGUAAACAAGCUUGUUUUAAAUAAAAUAAUCACCAAAAAUGUCUCUGGCUGUCUUUGAACCACUAUGGCAACUAGGUCAUGAAUCUGCUUUCCACCACUUGCCUGCUUAGUGUCACAGUGAUACUCAUUGCUCCUGCCUCCAUAGUUUGCUGUCUCUGUCCUUAGAGUGGGUAGCCCAGCCUAUUUAGUGAGGUUCACUUAGACUGUGUAUCUGUGUCUGUGCCUCUGUCUCUCAUGCAUCUAUCCAUGAUGUCUGUAUAAUUCCAGUGAGUCACUUAGCCCUAAAACUCACAGCUACUGCGUUUCCUGAGUCUACACUGAGAAUUCAGACCCUUCUAGAAGCAACAAUGAUUGCAUCAAUGGAACAAGCAGAAAUUCUAGAUGGCUGCAUAUAGCACAUGGCUGCAUCCCCAUCGCAUUACAUCAUAUUACAUGCACACACUACAUUGCCAAUUAAUCAAUGUGUUUCUUUGUGUUGAGGUAUUCUGACAGGCAGUCCUCUCAAAACGUCAAACAGGAAGUGAAGUAAUUACAUCUGUUUUCUAUCUUUUAACUGUCCUAAAAUAAAUAAAUAAAUGUAAGGAAUUUUAGCCUAGAAAUUUAGAAGCAGGGUUCUAACCUCCCCACUCCACUGCCUCCCUUCCCUUCAUCUUCCCAUAGUCCACCAGGCAGAAAAGUUAAGUCUUCUCAAACAACCCUGCUAGCUGUACUUCCCCAAUCUCAUGCUCAACAACCUCCUUGCAGCUCUGAACCGCAAUACUUACCUGGUUUAGGAGGGCAAUCCAAGGCCUCAGAAGAAGACACAGUUCUGGGUUCCUCGGAAAUGCAAAUAACAGAAUGAAGAUCCAUUAGUUAACUUCCUAAAAUUAAUAUCCAGGCAUUUUUCUUGAAAACCAUAUCUUUCUAUAUGCUUUUCAGAACAGGUAUAGAUUGGAUUUCUUCCAUUCUGAGGCAGCACUGAAAGCCUUAAACAACCUUGCAACUUUCCUUGGAUGUUGCCUCAUCCAUGAGCUGGGAGUUUGAUGCUGUGAUUGGGUGGAGAUAUAACUGAAGCAGGAACCUGUGUCCAUUGCCUGAACUUUGAAAAAUACAACAGACCUGCUGAUCUUCUCCAGUCUAAAGGAAGUUUUGAUUCUUCCCAGCCAUCCACACUUACAUAUGCAUGCUGCACCUUACUUUGGAGAAUAUGAAAAGCUUAAACAACAUCCAUCAGGUCCUACUGAAUAUGCUCUGCAAUAGAGAGUGAGUAUUCCAAUUUCACACAUUACAAUGUUGGAAAUGACUGAGAAAGAAAAAUCAUUAAGGCCAGAAUCUAAGCAACAAAUGCCACAAGCUGCAUCAAAGGCGUCAGGAAGAAGAGUCAGUUUAUUCCCACUGUACACCGUGGAUACAAAGACAAGACAUAGGAUCACCUGCAAACCUGAUUUAAAAACUUCAUAAUUCAGUUUCCUCUGGAUAUGUAGGCUCUAACAUGAUAAAUAAAAGACCCAGAGACUGGUAUUGGGGUUCAAGCUUCAAGCUGAAGACCAGAAAAGCAAAUCAGCCGGCCACUAGCUCUUACCUCAAGCUCAGGCUGAAAGGCGAUGCUGGUUCCACCAAACCUCAGACUGAAAUCCCAGACUGCUAUGAUCUCCUCAAUGUGGCUGGAGGAUCUAUGCCUUACUAUCUUCAGUGUAUCUGGAGAAUGAAUGCCAGCUCUGAGACCCUGCUCCUGCCUUAGACACCUUUCCACGAAUACUGGGAUUAAAGGCCUGUGAUCCCAAGUGCUGAGAUCAUCUUUGUGUGAGCUGUUUCUCUUUAGGACUGCAUCAAUUUCAUAUAGCUUAGUGUGGUCUUAAACUAACGGAGAUCCAUCUACCUUUUCAUCCUGAGUCCUGGGAUUAAAGUUCUGUACCACUACCUGA